GCGAUAACAUAUGCAAGUCGAACGAUGAACCUCCUUCGGGAGGGGAUUAGUGGCGAACGGGUGAGUAACACGUGGGCAAUCUGCCCUUCACUCUGGGACAAGCCCUGGAAACGGGGUCUAAUACCGGAUACGACCUCCGACCGCAUGGUCUGGUGGUGGAAAGCUCCGGCGGUGAAGGAUGAGCCCGCGGCCUAUCAGCUUGUUGGUGGGGUGAUGGCCUACCAAGGCGACGACGGGUAGCCGGCCUGAGAGGGCGACCGGCCACACUGGGACUGAGACACGGCCCAGACUCCUACGGGAGGCAGCAGUGGGGAAUAUUGCACAAUGGGCGAAAGCCUGAUGCAGCGACGCCGCGUGAGGGAUGACGGCCUUCGGGUUGUAAACCUCUUUCAGCAGGGAAGAAGCGAGAGUGACGGUACCUGCAGAAGAAGCGCCGGCUAACUACGUGCCAGCAGCCGCGGUAAUACGUAGGGCGCAAGCGUUGUCCGGAAUUAUUGGGCGUAAAGAGCUCGUAGGCGGCUUGUCGCGUCGGAUGUGAAAGCCCGGGGCUUAACCCCGGGUCUGCAUUCGAUACGGGCAGGCUAGAAUUCGGUAGGGGAGAUCGGAAUUCCUGGUGUAGCGGUGAAAUGCGCAGAUAUCAGGAGGAACACCGGUGGCGAAGGCGGAUCUCUUGGCCGAUACUGACGCUUAAGAACC
rnacentral:rRNA from 1 species